rnacentral:tRNA from 1 species
GCGCGCUUGGCUCAGCGGUAGAGCAUCGCCUUCACACGGCGGGGGUCGGAGGUUCGAAUCCUCCAGCGCGCACCA